rnacentral:rRNA from 1 species
GAGUUUGAUCGUGGCUCAGGACGAACGCUGGCGGCGUGCCUAACACAUGCAAGUCGAACGGACGAGAGGGAGCUUGCUCCCUCAAGUUAGUGGCGGACGGGUGAGUAACGCGUGAGUAACCUGCCUUUCAGAGGGGAAUAACAUUCUGAAAAGGAUGCUAAUACCGCAUGACAUCGUAGUAUCGCAUGGUACAGCGAUCAAAGGAGCAAUCCGCUGAAAGAUGGACUCGCGUCCGAUUAGCUAGUUGCGGGAUAAAGGCCCACCAAGGCGACGAUCGGUAGCCGGACUGAGAGGUUGAUCGGCCACAUUGGGACUGAGACACGGCCCAGACU